UUUCUCGGGUUUCUCGUCAUUAUGCCCAAGUCUUUUGCCUUUUACUACAGACUUCCGUGUAGAGGGAAACCAUUGAGUUAAAUCUGCUUUUGGCAAGCUCUGCCAUUUGGCUGAGCU
ensembl:snRNA U5 U5 spliceosomal RNA